rnacentral:lncRNA from 1 species
CUUCUUCUUCUUUAUUUGACAUGGACAGAGUUUUGAAGUAUAGCUCUCCUUUGGGAACCCCGGGCAGUUCCACUUGACUACCCUGUGACCUAAUGAGCAGUAAUGCGGCGCUACAGUGGCCAUUUUGUGUGCUUUGACGAGGGGUGGCUAGACAGAGUGCGGCAGAAAGGCAUGUCUGGGGAGAAAGGGGAGGCAGGCUGAUGGAACAGUGUGAAAAAGACUUGUUAGCCCACAUUAGUGUGCCUGAUUUACUUCACAACAGGUCAAGAAAGGCCAGCAGCAGGGUUGUCCUGAAAUUGCAAAGUUGAAAUCCCCGGUAUUAGAAAGCUUUCAGAUCUCUGAAGUUCCAAAUUAAUUCCAUUAAUUCCCAAGUUGGUUUUCAGUCACCUCUGAAUCACAGCAAAGAGGACUGUCACUUGCUCCUAUCUCGCAUCUGUUUAUAAAAUAAUUACGGGACCUUCCAGUCGUUUACUGCUGCAAGUUUUAAAGCAUCCUGCCAUGCCUGGCCUGUCUUGAAGCGAGCUUGGAUGUGAAAGAAACCAAACCACACAUGGUUGCUGCACUCUCUGCUCAACAUUAAUGAGGAGCCCGCCAUUCCUAUUUGGAAAUGGUCUAAAAAUAUAUCUAGGGGCUUCUAGCUCCACGACCAGAGGCAGCUCCUAACUGCUCCCAUCUGCACAGAAGGGUGUGUGUGUGGCUUGUUUGACUUCCUUUUAGAAUAUAAUUAAUAAAAAUCUAAUUGGGAAGUAAAAUUCCCCUCCCUCCAGUUCCACCCGAAGUGUUUUCUAUCUUGUAGUUGUUUACUCCUUUUAGGUUAAAGACAAUAGAUUAGUUAAGAGAUACUCAUCUCAUUUCUACAAUUAUGGCCCUGACAGUGACCUUACAUCUAAGCCUAGUCUCUCUUCAUAUCCAGAGGGGCCUUGGAAUUUCUUUAUACUAUGAAAGAGAAAUCCUUACAGUUGCUGAUAAUGCUAUUAUUAACUCAGUGUGAAUUAUAUGUGAAUUACUAGACAAUAAAAUCCCUCUCCCACUGGGAUUAAAGAGUAUCUGGCAGUAUAGGCUUUUGUUUGAAUUCAAUAUGUAAUAUAUAUAUAUAUAUAUAUAUAUAUAUAUAUAUAUAUACAUAUAUAUAUACACACACACACAUUUAUGUGUAAGAGAUGUAAGACAUUGUGUGUGUGAAAUAUAGAUGCUAAGAGAAAUAGUAUGUCACUGACCGGUAUGGUCAUUAUAUCAAGCUCUGUGGUUAAUGCUUGUGUGAGGGCUGUAAUGUAUAGAAGAGAAAAUAUUUCCUUUGUGCCAUGAGGGUGCCCUUCCAGCCUUGAUUUGGAGGUUUUGGCUAUCUUAGAGAGAAUGCUGUUGAGUGGAUAAACAUAUGCCAGGUAGGUCCCAAUCCACAGAAAACUUAUCUAUUGAAGCUUUCCCUGUUUGUCCCUAUGCCUCCUUAUCUAUAAGUUUUGAAAAAAAGAGGCCUCCUC